UCACAUUUGCUGUUGGUAUCAAGGAGACUCCAGAUGGUUGUGGAUCUAUUACUGCAUGAGGCAAUGGAACAGUUAUCUCAGCUGAUUUCAAUGGAACAGUGGUACCUACCAUUGGUACAGUGUUAACUGCUUUUGGGAAAACUACAUCACUCGCAUAAAUUAGUACUAAUUCUUUCCUUGGGCGACCUCUCCUCUUUGCCAUAACACCUCUGCCAAAUUUACUUACCUAUGCAAAAGCAGUAGAGAAGAAGACGAUGAAACAAUGAAGCAAAAGAUGAG
rnacentral:lncRNA from 1 species